GAGGCCUAACACAUGCAAGUCGAACGGGAUUCAGUAGCUUGCUACUGAUGAGAGUGGCGCACGGGUGAGUAACGCGUAUGCAACCUACCUCUUACAGGGGGAUAGCCCGGAGAAAUCCGGAUUAAUAUCCCAUGGUAUUUAUUGUCCGCAUGGAUAGUAAAUUAAAGAUUUAUCGGUAAGAGAUGGGCAUGCGUGACAUUAGUUUGUUGGUGAGGUAACGGCUCACCAAGACUACGAUGUCUAGGGGUUCUGAGAGGAUGAUCCCCCACACUGGUACUGAGACACGGACCAGACUCCUACGGGAGGCAGCAGUGAGGAAUAUUGGUCAAUGGGCGCAAGCCUGAACCAGCCAUCCCGCGUGAAGGAAGACGGCCCUAUGGGUUGUAAACUUCUUUUCUGCACCAAGAAUGGGCCUUACGUGUAAGGUUUUGACGGUAGUGCAGGAAUAAGCAUCGGCUAACUCCGUGCCAGCAGCCGCGGUAAUACGGAGGAUGCAAGCGUUAUCCGGAUUCAUUGGGUUUAAAGGGUGCGUAGGCGGAUAGGUAAGUCAGUGGUGAAAUCCUACAGCUCAACUGUAGAACUGCCAUUGAUACUGUCUAUCUUGAGUGUAAAUGAAGUGGGCGGAAUGUAGCAUGUAGCGGUGAAAUGCAUAGAUAUGCUACAGAACACCAAUUGCGAAGGCAGCUCACUAACAUACAACUGACGCUCAUGCACGAAAGCGUGGGGAUCAAACAGGAUUAGAUACCCUGGUAGUCCACGCUGUAAACGAUGAUUACUCGUUGUUGGCGAUACACAGUCAGCGACCAAGCGAAAGUGAUAAGUAAUCCACCUGGGGAGUACGAUCGCAAGGUUGAAACUCAAAGGAAUUGACGGGGGCCCGCACAAGCGGUGGAGCAUGUGGUUUAAUUCGAUGAUACGCGAGGAACC
rnacentral:rRNA from 1 species